UACAGAGGGUGCGAGCGUUAAUCGGAAUUACUGGGCGUAAAGGGCGCGUAGGCGGUAAGAUGUGUGUGAUGUGAAAGCCCCGGGCUUAACCUGGGAAGUGCAUUUGAGACUGCAUAGCUAGGGUGCGGAAGAGGGAAGCGGAAUUUCCGGUGUAGCGGUGAAAUGCGUAGAUAUCGGAAGGAACACCAGUGGCGAAAAGCGGCUUCCUGGUCCCAGCACC
rnacentral:rRNA from 1 species